rnacentral:rRNA from 1 species
UAGGGAAUCUUCCACAAUGGACGCAAGUCUGAUGGAGCAACGCCGCGUGAGUGAAGAAGGUCUUCGGAUCGUAAAGCUCUGUUGUUGGUGAAGAAGGAUAGAGGCAGUAACUGGUCUUUAUUUGACGGUAAUCAACCAGAAAGUCACGGCUAACUACGUGCCAGCAGCCGCGGUAAUACGUAGGUGGCAAGCGUUGUCCGGAUUUAUUGGGCGUAAAGCGAGCGCAGGCGGAAUGAUAAGUCUGAUGUGAAAGCCCACGGCUCAACCGUGGAACUGCAUCGGAAACUGUCAUUCUUGAGUGCAGAAGAGGAGAGUGGAACUCCAUGUGUAGCGGUGGAAUGCGUAGAUAUAUGGAAGAACACCAGUGGCGAAGGCGGCUCUCUGGUCUGCAACUGACGCUGAGGCUCGAAAGCAUGGGUAGCGAACAGGAUUAGAUACCCUGGUAGUCCAUGCCGUAAACGAUGAGCGCUAGGUGUUGGGGACUUUCCGGUUCUCAGUGCCGCAGCAAACGCAUUAAGCGCUCCGCCUGGGGAGUACGACCGCAAGGUUGAAACUCU